UACGGGGGGGGUAAGCGUUGUUCGGAAUUACUGGGCGUAAAGGGCUCGUAGGCGGCCAACUAAGUCAUACGUGAAAUCCCUCAGCUUAACUGGGGAACUGCGUGUGAUACUGGAUGGCUUGGAUUUGGGAGAGGGAUGCGGAAUUCCAGGUGUAGCGGUGAAAUGCGUAGAUAUCUGGAGGAACACCGGUGGCGAAGGCGGCUAUCUGGACCGACAUUGACGCUGAGGCGCGAAAGCGUGGGGAGCAAACAGG
rnacentral:rRNA from 1 species